rnacentral:rRNA from 1 species
AUGGAUCGAGUGGAAGGAUUGUUGAAGGGUCUGAAGCUCUCGGAGUCGGAGAGGAAGGGGAGGAAGAUCAACUGGAGUGGAGGAGGAAUGGUGGGGGAUGGGGAACCGCAGGCGAUUGCAAAGUUAUUCUCGGAUAAGCCAGCCAUGGCGGAUGCGUUGGUAGGGGCGCUGGCUAAAGCCUGGUGUCCCAUGAAAGGCCUAGACUGCAAGGACCUGGGAGAUAAUGUCUUCUUGUUCACUUUUCAUCAGCAGUCAGGAAAGAGGAAAGCACUUGAAGAUGGCCCGUGGGAGUUUGGGAAAUCAGUUCUCGUGGUGGAGGACUUUGUGCCAACUAAAACAGUUAAGGAUUAUGAGUUUAGAUGGAUUCCGAUAUGGGUGAGGGUAUUUGACCUUCCCCUGGGCAUGAUGUGUAGGGAUGCGGGGGAG